rnacentral:lncRNA from 1 species
GACGGAACUCAAGCUAUUAAGAAAACUUUGGAGCUACAGUUGUGAGGAGCCACUUAUGGAACCGGUGGGGGACUGCACCGCAAAUAUAAACAAGUACUUCUUCAACAAAACCGCGAACAUGUGUCAAAAGUUUUAUUGGAAUGGCUGCCUUUCCAGAGGUGUGUACGAAACCCGCUACGAAUGUGCACUCAGCUGCCACGUCGGUGAAGCAGCUGCAUUCUGUGCAGCGCCUCCUCCUCCUAGCGGAUGCGGCGGACAAACGAAAGGAGGCUGGGGACAUCAUUACGAAAUGAAUGCGUUCUACUACGACGUCAGUACGAGGACUUGCAAGUCUUUUAAAUUCUGUGGACCUCCAGUACCACCAGACUCAAACUUUUUCACCAGCGUGUCGAUGUGUAUCAUGGAAUGCGAAGGAUUUCCCUUCGGAGAAUAGGAGCCACAGCACAGGUUUUCUUCAACUGCCUUACCUGAACCAAGUCGUUCAAGUGCUGUCUAAUAAUAUACGUACAGCCGGUGUAUUCAGCAUUGUUUUACAAAACUUAUCUGUGCGGACAUUUUCACAACUGUUUACCUGGGCGUGGAUGUGAAAACUUCCUUACUGUUACCUGGAACACUAGUAUUCUAUUUUCUUAUGUGUACACAACACUGGCCUUCUUAUUCCGACGAUAACAGCCACCGUUAACGCAUAUCACGGAACGCCCUUGAAUAGUCUCAUCUUUAGUGGUCUUUUCA